rnacentral:rRNA from 1 species
GGUGCGUAACGCGUAUGCAACCUACCUUUCACAGGGGGAUAGCCCGAAGAAAUUUGGAUUAAUACCCCAUAAUAUUAUUGGAUGGCAUCAUUUGAUAAUUAAAACUGCGGUGGUGAAAGAUGGGCAUGCGUCCUAUUAGCUAGUUGGAGUGGUAACGGCACCCCAAGGCUACGAUAGGUAGGGGUCCUGAGAGGGAGAUCCCCCACACUG